GCAUUAAUGGGGUAGUGGUAAUCUGGGUCGUUGUCAUAUGCCCUUCUCGACCCCCCGGGGGUUCAAUUCUUUCUUAAUGCA